rnacentral:misc_RNA from 1 species
GAAUAAAGAGAAAAAAAAAAAAAGAAAAAAAAUCAGAAAAAAGGUAUCUCGUAUCGGGAAAAACGUGGACGUGGUCAAUCCUUUAACCUCCGAAAGUCCCGAAGUUUCUCCCUUCGGCUCAAUGCGCUUCUUCUGCACUCCGUACCGAAAUAACGGAAAAUUUCCACCAACUUCCACUUCCGUCGAUUGAGCGUCUCUCUCUUUUUUUUUUUUUUUUUUUUUUCUCUCCCUCAGAUUCUACUUCUCGUUGUCCGGAGGGCGGUUGAAAGGGAUGAAAAAAAAAAAUAAAAUAAAAUGAA